rnacentral:lncRNA from 1 species
AAAAAAUCUGGAGAACACCUCCCAAAAAAAAAUCAGGAAGGGCCCCAAAAAUAUCGGGGGGACCCCAAAAAAUUCCCCAAAUUUUCCACCGAGGCCUUGGCACCCCAAAAUUUACCCUGAGGGGCAAAAUUUGGGAGGGAGCCCCCUAAAAAAUCAGAAUUUUCCCCGAAAAUCCCCAAAUUUGGGUUGUUUUGGGGUUUUCUUUGUGCUGGAUUUGAAUGGGGGACCCCAAAAUUUGACACCUCAAAUUUGUCACCCAGGUGUUAUUUCCCAGCGUUUUGGGGUGAUUUCUCAUCAUUUUGGGGUCAUUCCUGACCACUUUGGCCUCCUUGCCACCACCCCGGUGGUCACUCCCUCAGUGUCCAGCAGCGUCCAGGUGUCCGGCGGUCACUCCCCACAAUUUUGGGGUCACUUCGAGUCACUUCAGGGGUCACUUCAUGUCCCUUUGGUGGUCACUUCGUGGUCACUUCGCCCUCCUUGUCCCCCCUCAAUGUCCAGCGGUCACUCCCCACCACUCUGGGGUCACUCUCCACCAUUUUGGGGUCACUUCGAGCCACUUCAGGGGUCACUCUGUGCCACUCUGGUGGUCACUUUGUGGUCACUUCGCCCCCAGGCCAGUGGUCACCGCCUCAAUGUCCAGCGGUCACUCCCCACGAUUUUGGGGACACUUUGUGCCACUUUGGGGUCACUUUGUGCCACUCUGGUGGUCACUCUGUGGUCACGUCACCCUUCUU